rnacentral:rRNA from 1 species
ACAAAACAUGAUAAUAAUUGAAGAGUUUGAUCAUGGCUCAGAUUGAACGCUGGCGGUAGGCUUAACACAUGCAAGUCGUGCGAGAAAAUAUCUUCGGAUAUGAGUAGAGCGGCGGACGGGUGAGUAACGCGUAGGAAUGUACCUAGUAGAAGGGGAUAGCCCGGGGAAACCCGGAUUAAUACCGUAU